rnacentral:rRNA from 1 species
UACGGAGGAUGCAAGCGUUAUCCGGAUUUAUUGGGUUUAAAGGGUGCGUAGGCGGGAUUGUAAGUCAGUGGUGAAAGCCUGCAGCUUAACUGUAGAAUUGCCAUUGAUACUGCUAUUCUUGAGUAUAAUUGAGGUGGGCGGAAUGUGUCAUGUAGCGGUGAAAUGCUUAGAUAUGACACAGAACACCGAUUGCGUAGGCAGCUCACUAAAUUAUUACUGACGCUGAGGCACGAAAGCGUGGGGAU